UAUUUAUAGAAUAUUUACAAACAUCCUUAUGUAAUGUGACCGUGAUGUAAUUUCCUUCAUAAAAUAAAACUAUAAGUAUUACUAUAUAAUUUGAUGUUUUUUUAUAGUUAUUUUAUUUUGUUCUAUUAAUAUUUUUUAUACAUAAAAUAAAUAAAAAUGCAUAUAUAAUCAAUCAAAAAAAUAUCAGGAAAAAAAGAGAAA
rnacentral:lncRNA from 1 species